GCUUUCUAGCCCCAUUUAAUCACUCCUCCUGAGGACGCAGCGCGGCGAAACGUACGUCGGGGAGAUCCAGCGCCUAUUUUUAACCCUCAUAGCAACCGGUUUAUUUUGGAAAUGCCCCAUGAACAUGCAAACAUCGCUUUCCUCCUGCCAUCCUUUCUCUGCACAUCCUGUUUGCAUUGGUCUUCUCAGCAGCAAAAGCAAACUGUACUUAAGAACAGCUGGUAAAGCUGAUGACGUGCGCAGUUCUAUCAUGGUCGAUGGCUGAAGGUUGCGUGAAAUGAGCAUGGACUUGCGUAGUCACCCCAGCUACAAUACCCAAACUCCACAUCUCCUUUCGGUGCCCAGCGCCACCUUCUGAAUUGAAAUCGCCGCCCUCCCUUUCAUUAGAGCCGCCUACCUCAGUUCAUCACCGCCUCUCUAAUGUCAGCACCGUCUCUGAAAUCGUCCGCUCUCCUCAGGUUAUACUUAGUGCGCACGUGCGGGAUCUGGCUGAGGAGAGCGGACGUUAGAGAGGCAGCGAUUGGUAAAAAAUAAAUAAAAGGUUAUGGUGUCAAAAC